AUGAAAUUAAAAAAAGGCGCCCCCCCUGCCCCGGGGGGUGGGGGCGACAGGGAGCCGGGAGCCAAGCGCUGCACUCUCCAAGCGAAGCCUCUGCAGGGAUCGGCCAACUUACCCCGGGCAAAACAACUACGCGGCGGCCGCCCCACCGUUCCCGGUCGCUCCGGCCACUUGUCCUCCCGCCCGCCCGCCGCUGCCCGCCGCGGGGACCGCGCACCGCCGCCGCUGCCCCGCUCCGCCGCUGCUCGCCCGCAGCCCCGGGGCGACGUGGGGCCGAGCCCGGCGCGGUGGCGGCCGAUGCCGGUGCGGCGCUGCCGAGGAGCGGUGGGGGAGCCGGCGCCUUCCCGGAAUGGCUCAGCCCUCGGGAGGGAGGGAGCGAGAGAGCGAGGGAGGAGGGGGGCGGCAGCGCCGCGGCUUGGUCCCACCUCCUGCCGGGCAGGGCGGCGCGGCCCUGCCCCAGCCGAGCCGAGCGGCGGAGAAGGAGAGCCGGCUGCUGGCGGCGGAGUGGAGAGAGCCGCGCCGAGCCGAGCCGAGCCGAGCCGCGCCGCCCCUUGGCCUGCCGGGCUGGGCGCUGGCCGGGCCCGGUGCGCCGCGCCCGCCGCCGGCUCGGGUUACGGGAGCCGCGGCCGCCGCAGCCAAUGCGGGGCCGCCUGGCGCCUUCGAACGGCAGGUUUUCCCGUCUUUUUCUAAAGAAAAGCUACCGGAGAGAGCACCAUCCCGGGAAAGGGUGGGGUUGGACAGGCAGGAAAACGCGCCUGCCGGGCGGCCCGGGGAAGCGGCGCCGAAACGGCCCCGGUCCCGCUCUGUCCAGACGCGGGGAGGGACCCAGAGUCACGGGUGGCCGCCGUGGGCCGGGAGCGGAGCGGGAUCUCCCGGAGCAUCUCCGCUGUUGCCGCCGUCGCCAAGGGCUUUGUCACCGGCCCUGGCCCCGGCCCCGCGCCUCCCUGCCCCGCUGCCCACCCUCCCCCUGGGGUGGCCGCCUUUGUCCCCGGUCCCUCCUGCCUCGGCAGGUUGAAAGAGCUGCCUCCAGCAUCCCUGCCACCUCUCCGCUCCUGGGAACGGCAUAUUCCUUUAGACCUCAGUGGCGCGGGAGGAAACGGCCCCGAAGUCUCAGAUAACGCUUAUUCCUCGGUAGAAUCUUCCCAGGUUCUGGUCAUCCUUACUGCCCGGAGGCUGGCGUGCCAGCCUCAACUUCUGCGUACAUCGGACAGAACCUAGCAAAGGAUAUGGAAAGUUCAUAAAGUGAAUUUCCUAGGCAACAUGUGGGCAGAUUUCUUGUAUCUUUGCAUCGCAUUCCCUGUGUUUCAGUCUAAUGCACUUUUCCUUGGGUUAUGAUAUUUGUCUGUGGGAUGCUUUUUGGCCAGUAUCACACUGUAAAAAUGAAAGGUGUACCAGGACACCUAACAUCCUUAAAAAGCCGUGGGGAAUUGCCAGCUUUGUGUUCCUUAGGAACCUGAGUAAAUGGUUUGACUCCAGGGUUAAUCCAGUGCAACGUCAGGUUUCUGACCACACUGGAAAGCUGGUCAAGACACCCUCUAGCUAUAAAGAGACAUCAAAUCUGAUGCCAGAGCAUGGGAUGCAGAGCAUAUGGCCUGUGCAUGGAGGGAACAUCGGAACAGAGAGGGAUGGAGGAUUGCAACUUCUGCCUUUUGAUGUUAUCUUUCUCAGUCUCGGUAAAGCUGCAGUUUCUUCAUGGUUUUCUGCACAAGUCUAUCAUCCUGGGUUUCUGAGCCCAGAUAUACCCUCAGCAAACUAGACAACUGCCUAUUCCCUACCACAGCAAAACAGCAGACCCUCCCUGCUCCUGGAGGAGUUCAUCCCCUCCGUGGGCGCUGUUGUCCCUUUUCUCCUGAGGAAGCUGUUUAUCCCGUUAUUAUCAAAAGGGUAAGAGGAGCUUAGGACAGAGGACAGGCACUGGUUCACUUCAUGUGGGAUUUGCAGGUGCAUUCUUGGUAGCACACCGCACAGACGUGAAGAUGUGAAGAGGACAGCUCUCCCCUAGCACAAACCCACACCAGGGUAGUUCCCUAGAGAGGAGGGAAUCCCAUUGUACACCCAGUGGUGAGUCCUGUUUGCUCCUUUCAAGGAGCCAGGGGCCACGCAGGACAAGAGCUGUGCUCUGACCUGGGUUCCACCUUGGUGACAGCUCUCCAGAAGGUGCAGUCCUGGCUGUGGCAGGUCAGGCUUUCCUGAGGUUGCCACCUCAGCAGCAGAGUCAGCCCUUAGGACAUGGAAACCAGCAGGUGUCCAUGCCAAGAGGUCACUGAUCCUGGGGUCUGGGACAGACAGGCCAUGGCCAGCAUAGCAUGGCAUCAGGCUGUGUCCCAUCUGCUGCUUCUCACCACCCUGAACCACAGCUCAUGGCUGCAUUGUAUCUAGAAGGCACCCAGGCGUUUUUUGAGCCAAGCCUUUUAUUUACAAGGUUUUAAUCAUAUCCUUCCCCACAGGAAGAGGAAAGUGCUUCUCCCAGACCCUCCCAAGCGCUGAUCUGACUAGCAGGUCCCUGGCCAGUGGCCGGGGGAAGGAGGAGCAGAGCAGGGGGAUAUUGCAGAGCAAUCGUUCGCCACUGGCCAAAGUUGAAAAGAGAGAGAAACCUCUGGCGGCUGCGUUACAAACACAGGUGAAGCUACCCUGUGGCAGUGCCUGGCCUGGGCAGUUUAUUGCUGGGCUUGCGUGAUGUUUGCUUCCCCACUCUCCCAAGAAAAGCAGUCUUUCCUAGGUGAGACCUGUCAAAGUUUGAGCAUUAUUGAUGCAGAAACUGAGCUCAGCAGUCAGGGGCUCCUCAGAGGAAGUGAGGAGAUUAUUAAUAUCCACAGAGGAUGUCCCUGUGAUGAUUAAGACUUGCUUUCAGUACUCAGUGAGUAUGUCUGUGCUUUUGGAAAUGUUAACACCACAGAUCCACCCUGAUGCUGUCCACAAGGGGUUUGCUGUCAAUGCUGCCAUUCUGGUGCCCAGGGGGCUGUUGAGGCAUGGUGACCUGCUGUGCUUGGGCUUCCAGAGGCCUGUAUGCCCAGGAGGUGGCAUUGAAGCUGCCAGGUGUGCAGAUGGCAGCUGGUGUGAGUGACUGUGACCUGAAUCAAGUGGACACUAUGCAUCAUGACCUGUACUGCUCCUUAAUCUUCUCUUCAAGGUGGACCUUGCAGUGCAGUGUAGAGGAAAAUCCCUUCAUUUUUGAAAGGCAAGGCAGCAGUGCUAGAGCAGGGGUAUCAAAAACUGUCUGUGGCCCAGGUGAUCUAUGGGCACAGUGGAACCAAGGGCUGGGUUGGGAUAAGAUUUUAAAUGCUUUGAUAGCUUGGAGGGAAAGGAAUAGGUCAAUGCACAGUUUUAUGAUCAAUAACAAAUCCAAUGCUGCAAAGCACAUUUUUAAUCAACACAAAUAAUACAUAAUGUUGGGGUAUUUUUGAUGGGUUUGUAGUUUCAGUUUUAGUGAAAAAACCCUGUUUCCCAGUGUUGUUCAGAAGGCAUUGUGAUUUCCUCCUGCCAAUUUAGAUGAAGUGUAGGAGCAGUUGGUAAACAACACGCUAUGGAUUCCCUCUUGUUACAUCUGGCCAUGGGGCCUUCUGCAAGCUGCCAGUGAAAAACUUUUAAUAUGCAUGUUAUCUUAAGCUUUUGAUGCUCAUGUAAGACAGCAUCAAAGCCUAUCCCUUGCAUUGAAUCAGAUGGGCACUUCCACCCUCUUCAGUCAAGGAUGAAAUUUUAAAACGAAUUGCAGCAAAAUAAGAAUUUUAGAAAAAAAAAACAACAAAACAACUACCAGCAGCAUACUGGGUAAAAAUGCUCUUGAUGUUAACUCCUGAACUCAGCAGGUGAUGCAAAAAAUGAAUUUGGUUCCUGAUAGAACACAGCGAUACACAGCUUCAUUGAAGUCUUACCAAAGCAUUCCCUCUACAGGGAUAUGUCAGUAUUACAGAAGACACCGCAGCUCAGAGCUGUGCUGCCGCUUUCCUCCCUACCCCGGAGAGGGGUGGCUCUUCCAAAGCCCACUCAGAGGUGUGGGAGUGGGCAGAGGAGCAGGAUUAAUCCCAGUGAGACUCUCCCGGACCCUGGUGUUCUUAGGCAGCCUAAGAAAUACACGCCGCUGCCUGUGCAUCAAGACUGUGAUCCAGUUUAUGUGUGCUAGGGACCCAUUUCAUAGAACACAUACUCUGUGAAUCAUUUACAUGGGGUAUAAAUCAUCUGUGGCACUGGUGUUUUCCCAUAAAUCAGCACCAAGGCCUAAUACUUGAUUAAUGUUUUGAAAUGGAGCAUCCAGAUUGCAACAAUGGGAGCUCUCUUUUGUGAGACAAAGCUGUGCGAUAACAAAAAAUGUGCAGUGCUCCAAACUCUGCUAUCAAGAUAGGCACCUCACUUCCAGCCUGAUUAAGCAGUAUUUUCAGCCAGAACACUUUUCCAGGUAGCAACGACCUGAAGAACCAUCUUGUGUCAUUCUUCCUUCUUUUCCCAGAUCAGCUGAACCAUCCUGUGAAAAGAUUUCAUACCUCCAUUUGCCCAUCUGGCUGAGCAAUGAGGAAAACGCAGUCUCUUGGAAGAUUAUGCAGCACUCCUUAAUGCUGGCUUCUGGCAAUAUAACUGGGCCAUCCAGUUCAUUCUCUCUCCUUAUGAAAAUGGUAUGUUUUAGUGGAGGAUUUCAUCUUGUGUCCACAAAGCCUUUUUAUUUUGUGCCCUGAAACUGCUAGUAAAAUUCUACAAUGCACCGACUUGUUUUAAGGAUUUCAGGAUAUUCAGAAAAUUAUUAUGAUUGUAACCAGCAAACUCUUUGCCUUGCCAGAAAAACAAGUCCUCCAAAAGGCAUAAGUAGUAGCCUCUAAACAUUGCUACAAAGAGCAGCAUCCAAACUGGAGGCCAGUGGAGAUGAAGAGCUGUUCCUUGAAGGAAGGCAUGGGAGGUGUGUGUUCUCAAGAUGUGCCUCAAAUGCUGUUUUCCAGUCCUGUUUUGAAGUGUCCUGCAUUCACCCAAGAGGUGCACAUUCACGUGUUGGGUGUAGAUCUGCUCGGUGCAGGCAUCCUUACAGGGCUGAUGGAGCAAUACCAAGUCAGAUCUCUUGUCGCAGUGGCAGCUACAGAGUAGGCAUACACAGUAUGUUUGAGCCAAAAAGAAAAAGCCCAUAAAAAUCCCCUCACCCACAGUGUUAACUACCACUUCAUUUUCAUGGAAGUUUAUAACCAUUUUGUGCAACUCCAGAUGUGGAGGUUUUUUCCCUCAUCCCUAAUCUGUAUGUUGGUAAAGGACUGGAAGCUAAACCCUAAGAAGGAGUAGGCAAUGCUGCUCCUACCUGGGAGCUGCAGAUGAUUGGCAUGUCUCAAACACAUACAUAAUAACUGGAGCAAAAAUUUCACUGCUAAUUUAGUGUGUAGUGGGGAUCCAACUUCAUUGUGCACUCAGAAGGCUAUACACAAUAUCAGAGCAAUUUUUUUUUAAGUAUUAAGAAAAAUGUCCGAACUCCACUUACAAGAUUUGAAUCAUCAGGAUUGCCACAUGCCUGUGAGCUGAGGCCAUGUCCUGGGGAGCUGUCACAUGCUCCACCAUCAUCCACCCAAAGAGGAGAGAUACUGAGACUUUGGAAUCAAGUGUGUGCCAAGAAAAAAUUUUACAAAA
ensembl:lncRNA